rnacentral:rRNA from 1 species
GUGUGACCGCGUGCCUUUUGUAAAAUGAGCCGGCGAGUUACGAUGCCUAGCCAGGUUAAGCAGCAGCUGCUGCGGAGCCGCAGCGAAAGCGAGUCUGAAUAGGGCGAUUUUAGUUAGGUGGCGUAGACCCGAAACCGAGUGAUCUAACCAUGGCCAGGGUGAAACAGGUCUGAUCGCCUGUGAAGGCCCGAACCCACUUAUGUUGAAAAAUGAGGGGAUGAGCUGUGGUUAGGGGUGAAAGACCAAUCAAACUCGGAGAUAGCUGGUUCUCCUCGAAAUAGCUUUAGGGCUAGCCUCAAAUGUUUGCCUAUGGAGGUAGAGCACUGAAUGGACUAAGGGCCCCACCAGGUUACUGAACCCAAUCAAACUCCGAAUGCCAUAGGUUUAUAGUUUGGGAGUCAGACUGCGGGGGAUAAGCUUCGUAGUCGAAAGGGAAACAGCCCAGACCAGCAGCUAAGGUCCCCAAGUGCAAGCUAAGUGUGAAAGGAAGUAGAAUUACCGAGACAGCCAGGAUGUUGGCUCAGAGGCAGCCAUCAUUUAAAAAGUGCGUAACAGCUUACUGGUCAAGUGAUUCUGCACCGAAAAAUGUACGGGGCUAUAAGCUUGCCACCGAAGCUCUGGAUCCAGAAUUUAUUCUGGGUGGUAGAGGAGCGUUCCUUUAUGGGAUGAAGGGUAACCGUAAGGAUGCCUGGACUAAAAGGAAGUGAGAAUGCCGGCAUGAGUAACGAUAAGGAGAGUGAGAAUCUCUCCCGCCGAAAACCUAAAGU